UCGGGAUAGCUCAGUUGGUAGAGCA
rnacentral:tRNA from 3 species